rnacentral:rRNA from 1 species
UACGGGGGGAGCAAGCGUUGUUCGGAUUUACUGGGCGUAAAGGGCGCGUAGGCGGUCACUACAAGUCAGUUGUGAAAUCUCUGGGCUUAACUCAGAACGGUCAACUGAUACUGUCGGACUAGAGUGCAGAAGGGGCAACUGGAAUUCUCGGUGUAGCGGUGAAAUGCGUAGAUAUCGAGAGGAACACCUGAGGUGAAGACGGGUUGCUGGGCCGACACUGACGCUGAGUGCGCGAAAGCCAGGGGAGCAAACGGG